rnacentral:rRNA from 1 species
UCAGGUAGGGCUACCCGCUGAACUUAAGCAUAUCAAUAAGCGGAGGAAAAGAAACUAACAAGGAUUCCCCUAGUAACGGCGAGUGAACCGGGAUGAGCUCAAAUUUGAAAUCUGGCGUCCUCAGGGCGUCCGAGUUGUAAUCUAUAGAGGCGUUUUCCGUGCCGGACCGUGUCCAAGUCCCUUGGAACAGGGUAUCAAAGAGGGUGACAAUCCCGUACUUGACACGACGACCGGUGCUCUGUGAUACGUCUUCUACGAGUCGAGUUGUUUGGGAAUGCAGCUCAAAAUGGGUGGUGAGUUCCAUCUAAAGCUAAAUAUUGGCGAGAGACCGAUAGCGAACAAGUACCGUGAGGGAAAGAUGAAAAGCACUUUGGAAAGAGAGUUAAACAGUACGUGAAAUUGUUGAAAGGGAAACGAUUGAAGUCAGUCGUGACUGUUGGGCUCAGCAGGUUCUGCCUGUGUAUUCCCUUCAGUCGGGUCAACAUCAGUUUUGACCGGUGGAUAAGGGCAGCAGGAAUGUGGCACCCUCGGGUGUGUUAUAGCCUGUCGUCGCAUACAUCGGUUGAGACUGAGGAACGCAGCUCGCCUUUAUGGCCGGGGUCGCCCAC